GAUGAACGCUGGCGGCGUGCCUAAUACAUGCGAGUCGAACGAGGUGCUUUUGUAGCAAUACGAGAGUAUCCUAGUGGCGAACGGGUGAGUAACGCGUUGGUGACCUACCCCAAAGUGUGGGAUAACAGUCCGAAAGGACUGCUAAUACCGCAUGUGGUCAUUGGCUUUAGAAACCGGUGACUAAAGGAGCAAUUCGCUUUGGGAGGGACCUGCGUCCCAUCAGCUAGUUGGUGAGGUAAUGGCUCACCAAGGCGACGACGGGUAGGGGACCUGAGAGGGUGACCCCCCACAAUGGAGCUGAAACACGGUCCAUACACCUACGGGUGGCAGCAGUAGGGAAUAUUGCUCAAUGGGCGAAAGCCUGAAGCAGCAACGCCGCGUGUGUGAUGAAGGCCUUCGGGUCGUAAAGCACUUUUCUGGGAGAUGAGAAAGGACAGUAUCUCAGGAAUAAGUCUCGGCUAACUACGUGCCAGCAGCCGCGGUAACAC
rnacentral:rRNA from 1 species